rnacentral:lncRNA from 1 species
CGCCAGGCUUCCCCCGGUGGGUCGGCGGAGGUAGCCUGUCGCCGGGGCUUGUUCUCUGGGGAUGUGAGCGAUCUGGCGAGCAGACACCCCCUCCUCUAGGAGGCAGAUGGGAAGGAAGCUUUAUUGAGCAGCUAUGAUGUGCCGAGAACCAGAUUGAGCAGUUCCUGGGACAACCUCGUGAGGUGCACACCCCUUGCAUUGGACUAGUUAUCUACAGGACACUUCAGUGGCUAGACUCGGUCAGUUGACUUUCCAGAUAAGCUCUCUGCCGGUUUUAUUCCUCUCGCUGACCUGAGGCUAGAUCGAUCUAACCAUAGACGUACAGAG